GUCAACACUAAUUGAACAAUAAUUUGUAGUGUUAGUUGCACAUCAGCAUAAACUGAAUUAUCACUUUCACGUUACAUGGUAGUGAAACCCAAAUUUUUGGUUAAGAAAUUCUAUUCCUCUCUUACAUGUAUCAUGAUUGAGUCACCCACACUAUACAUUACAUAUUUUAUGUUUAUUAUUAAUCCAAUAAAAAGACUAAACUCUAUAUCUUAUAAAGAAUAUAGUUUGAUGAAGAACUCAUGUAUAUGUAGUUAAGAUUUUUAAUUUCUGUUAUAAAAAAUCUAACCCAUGAAAACUAUUUAUAACCACAAACCCAACUCGAACACACAUUCAGUGUUGAGAAUUGUAAGCACUUCGAUACACCAUGCCUUCACAAUUUUGGGGCCCUAGAAUUGUCAGCCUAUGGCAAAUUUCUUUUUUGAGUACACUAUACUCGAUCACUUCAAUUGUAUGCCUAUGGAAAAUGCCUUUCUGAAUACACUAUAAUCACGAUUCACGAUUAUGCUAAAACUUUUGUAGUUUAAGAAACUUGUAAGAUACUUAAGAUAUUUUUAGUCAUACUUAUUAAAAAAAUCCAGUUAUAAUUUUAUACCAAUUCGUCACAAUUAUUUAGUCUUUUUGUCACAGUAUGAGACUAACUAUUCCAUCACAACA
rnacentral:lncRNA from 1 species